UACGAAGGGGGCUAGCGUUGCUCGGAAUCACUGGGCGUAAAGCGCACGUAGGCGGAUUGUUAAGUCAGGGGUGAAAUCCUGGAGCUCAACUCCAGAACUGCCUUUGAUACUGGCGAUCUUGAGUCCGGGAGAGGUGAGUGGAACUCCGAGUGUAGAGGUGAAAUUCGUAGAUAUUCGCAAGAACACCAGUGGCGAAGGCGGCUCACUGGCCCGGUACUGACGCUGAGGCACGAAAGCGUGGGGAGCAAACAGG
rnacentral:rRNA from 1 species